rnacentral:tRNA from 1 species
GGGCCUGUAGCGCAAUGGUAGCGCACUAAGAUGGCAUCUUAGGGGUUAGGGGUUCGAGUCCCCUCAGGUCCA